UCUUGGUCCAUUUAGAGGAAGUAAAAGUCGUAACAAGGUUUCCGUAGGUGAACCUGCGGAAGGAUCAUUACCUAGAGUUGUGGGCUUUGCCUGCUAUCUCUUACCCAUGUCUUUUGAGUACUUACGUUUCCUCGGUGGGUUCGCCCGCCGAUUGGACAAUUUAAACCCUUUGCAGUUGCAAUCAGCGUCUGAAAAACAUAAUAGUUACAACUUUCAACAACGGAUCUCUUGGUUCUGGCAUCGAUGAAGAACGCAGCGAAAUGCGAUAAGUAGUGUGAAUUGCAGAAUUCAGUGAAUCAUCGAAUCUUUGAACGCACAUUGCGCCCCUUGGUAUUCCAUGGGGCAUGCCUGUUCGAGCGUCAUUUGUACCUUCAAGCUUUGCUUGGUGUUGGGUGUUUGUCUCGCCUUUGCGUGUAGACUCGCCUUAAAACAAUUGGCAGCCGGCGUAUUGAUUUCGGAGCGCAGUACAUCUCGCGCUUUGCACUCAUAACGACGACGUCCAAAAGUACUUUUUUACACUCUGACCUCGGAUCAGUAG
rnacentral:rRNA from 1 species